rnacentral:lncRNA from 1 species
CACUCAGCUUUCUGAAAUGGUGUCCCACCGCAAGGACUGGAGAAGGGGUCUUCCUCUGCCACCCAGGCUGGAGUGUGCAGCAGCAUGACCAUGGCUCACUGCAGCUUCAACCUCUCAGGAUUAGGUAAACCUCAGGUUCUCCUCCUGCCUUUUGCUAAGUAUAUGUCUUGAUGACAAGCCUUCUGCUGAUGAGCUGUGUUUCUGGACCGAUCAUGGUAGAAGUCAAUUAACGUGUCCCUCACUUGGGGUUUCUCAAGGGAGUCUCACUCUGUCGUCCAGGCUGGAGUGCAGUGGCACAAUCUCGGCUCACUGCAAGCUCCGCCUCCCAGGUUCACGCCAUUCUCCUGCCUCAGUCUCCCAAGUAGCUGCACUGAUGAGGAAACUGAAACAGAAAAUCCAGAGUAAAUUCCACCAGGCCACACAGCAAGGUCUGAUAGAGCCAGGAGAGACUUUAUGAAAUCCAGACUCUCACACUAAUGCUCUAUCAGCUAGACCUCCAUGUGAGUCUCCCCAAUGUAGGUAGGAAGUGCUUUCCCUAAAAUGCUCAUAAAGCAAAUCAGAGCAAUGCUGCAUUCCAUGUGAUUUCUAAUUUGAAAUGCAAACAAUUGCCAAUUUGUUUGACUUGUAUUUAUAAUUAUUUCCUUGUGAAUUACUCAUCACUAAAUGCUUUAUAAAUAUUU